rnacentral:rRNA from 1 species
GCUUAAUGACGUACUGGGAAACUGGUAUUUCUUCCGGUACAUUUUGCAAGGUGCUGCAUGGUUGUCGUCAGCUCGUGCCGUGAGGUGUCGGGUUAAGUCCCAUAACGAGCGCAACCCCUAUUGUUAGUUGCCAUCAGGUCAUGCUGGGGACUCUAACAAAACUGCCCGCGUAAGCGUGGAGGAAGGUGGGGAUGACGUCAAAUCAGCACGGCCCUUACGUCCAGGGCUACACACGUGCUACAAUGGCCGGUACAGAGGGCAGCCACUUGGUGACAAGGAGCAAAUCUCAAAAGCCGGUCUCAGUUCGGAUCGGAGUCUGCAACUCGACUCCGUGAAGUUGGAUUCGCUAGUAAUCGUAGAUCAGCAAUGCUACGGUGAAUACGUUCCCGGGCCUU